UACGGAGGGUGCAAGCGUUAUCCGGAUUCACUGGGUUUAAAGGGUGCGUAGGCGGACAGGUAAGUCAGUGGUGAAAUCUCUGGGCUUAACCCAGAAACUGCCGUUGAUACUAUUUGUCUUGAAUACUGUGGAGGUCAGCGGAAUAUGUCAUGUAGCGGUGAAAUGCUUAGAUAUGACAUAGAACACCAAUUGCGAAGGCAGCUGGCUACACAAAUAUUGACACUGAGGCACGAAAGCGUGGGGAUCAAACAGG
rnacentral:rRNA from 1 species